rnacentral:rRNA from 1 species
ACGAACGCUGGCGGCGUGCCUAAUACAUGCAAGUAGAACGCUGAAGGAGGAGCUUGCUUCUCUGGAUGAGUUGCGAACGGGUGAGUAACGCGUAGGUAACCUGCCUGGUAGCGGGGGAUAACUAUUGGAAACGAUAGCUAAUACCGCAUAAUAGCAGUUGUUGCAUGACAACUGUUUGAAAGGUGCAAUUGCACCACUACCAGAUGGACCUGCGUUGUAUUAGCUAGUUGGUGGGGUAACGGCUCACCAAGGCGACGAUACAUAGCCGACCUGAGAGGGUGAUCGGCCACACUGGGACUGAGACACGGCCCAGACUCCUACGGGAGGCAGCAGUAGGGAAUCUUCGGCAAUGGACGGAAGGCUGACCGAGCAACGCCGCGUGAGUGAAGAAGGUUUUCGGAUCGUAAAGCUCUGUUGUAAGAGAAGAACGAGUGUGAGAGUGGAAAGUUCACACUGUGACGGUAUCUUACCAGAAAGGGACGGCUAACUACGUG